CAUUUCAGGGAUCAGCUGAGGAAAAACAGACAGCAUGUGAUCAUAUUACAGAAGGACUCUGCGAUUCUCAGCAUCUCUGAGGGAUGUUUGUAGUUUAAUAAAUAUUGAGGGAGAUGUAAAACCUAUGCCACCUGGUAAGCCCUGGCUCUACCAUGACGUUGCUCUGUGACCUUGCACAACAUUCUCAAGUACAUAAAUAUGUACAUACAUGUACACAAAUAUAUCCGUGUAUUAAAGUUUCUGAAUCAAAGUUUUCUUCGUAAAAAGGUGAGGACCAGCCUGCCUCAUGUCAAGAAAGAUUAGACCUCAUUAUACUUCUUGUUUGUGUCCUUUACCAGUUGCU
rnacentral:lncRNA from 1 species